GGAACACAAUGGCCCCACCCCAUGGAGAGAGUAGGGCAUCCCCAGGAAGAGUCUCAGGGCUGGUGACAGCCUGAGAAGUGAAAGGGAGAAGCAGGACGCUGAGCAACGUUGGAGGAGAAGCAAGAUAACACUGUGCUUAGUGAAGGGGAUCCUAGCUUCACCACUAGCUGGCACAUGACUGGACCGCUCUGUGCCUCAGUUUCCUCAUCUGUGAAAAGAAGAGAGUUAGUGCCCACUUCAUUAGGCUGUCCGAUGAAAUCGGCUAAUGUAUACAAAACACUUAGAACAACGCCUGGCACCGGUGGAGAUCAACAAACAUCAGCAGUCUACCCAAAAGAAUUGAAAGCAGGAACGUGAACAGAUAUUUGCAUACCCGUGUUCUUUUGUUUGUUUGUUUUUGUUGUGAGACAGGGUCUUACUCUGUUGCCCAGGCUGGAGUGCAGUGGUGCAAUCAUGGCUCACUGCAGCCUUAACCUGCCAGGCUCAGGUGGUUCUCCCACCUCAGCCUCCCAAGUAGCUGGGGCUACAGGUGCACCCCAUCACACCUGGCUAAUUGUUUGUAUUUUUGGUGGAGACAGGGUCUCACUAUGUUGCCCAGGUUGAUCUUGAGUUCCAGAGCUCAAGCGAUCCACCCGCCUGGGCCUCCCAAAGUGCUGGGAUUACAGGCAUGAGCCACCACACCUGGUAUACACACCCAUGUUUUAUAGCAGCACUGUACACAGCAGCCAAGAGGUAGCAGCAAUCCCAGUGUGCACAGAGAGAUGAAUGAAUGCACAGUGUAGCCCAUCCAUACAAUGGAAUAUGAUUCAGCCUCAAAAAGGAAGGGAAUUCUGAUACCUGCUACCACAUGAAUGAAUCUUGAAGGCAUUAUGCUGAGUGAAAUAAACCUGACAACGCCCUCCUGGCAGAUACAGA
rnacentral:lncRNA from 1 species